rnacentral:rRNA from 1 species
GCAGGCCUAACACAUGCAAGUCGAACGGACCCUUCGGGGUUAGUGGCGGACGGGUGAGUAACACGUGGGAACGUGCCUUUAGGUUCGGAAUAGCUCCUGGAAACGGGUGGUAAUGCCGAAUGUGCCCUUCGGGGGAAAGAUUUAUCGCCUUUAGAGCGGCCCGCGUCUGAUUAGCUAGUUGGUGAGGUAAUGGCUCACCAAGGCGACGAUCAGUAGCUGGUCUGAGAGGAUGACCAGCCACAUUGGGACUGAGACACGGCCCAAACUCCUACGGGAGGCAGCAGUGGGGAAUCUUGCGCAAUGGGCGAAAGCCUGACGCAGCCAUGCCGCGUGAAUGAUGAAGGUCUUAGGAUUGUAAAAUUCUUUCACCGGGGACGAUAAUGACGGUACCCGGAGAAGAAGCCCCGGCUAACUUCGUGCCAGCAGCCGCGGUAAUACGAAGGGGGCUAGCGUUGCUCGGAAUUACUGGGCGUAAAGGGCGCGUAGGCGGACAUUUAAGUCAGGGGUGAAAUCCCAGAGCUCAACUCUGGAACUGCCUUUGAUACUGGGUGUCUUGAGUGUGAGAGAGGUAUGUGGAACUCCGAGUGUAGAGGUGAAAUUCGUAGAUAUUCGGAAGAACACCAGUGGCGAAGGCGACAUACUGGCUCAU